rnacentral:lncRNA from 1 species
CUGUGGUUCAGAGGCUAAAUGAUUUGUCCAGGAUUGUACAACAAGCAAGUAUCGGAUCUGGUAAAGGACGGUUGGAAAAUGUAGGUUGUGAGUACUGCACUAUUUAGGUUUACCCAUAGGUGUAAGGAUGUCAUCGCUGGCAUUAAGUCCUAGAUCCUGUGCUGCGGAACAUGAUCUUAGAGGCACAAGCUGUGCAAGAGAAAUCCUGCCGUGGCAGGUCUGUGUGACACUGCUCGGGCUCUGCUAAAUGUGUUGCUAUAGUUUUUCUCGUGAGCGACUUGCAAGCUGCUGUUCUGACGUUUUGCAUGGAUUCUGGGCUCAGUCAGCCGUCUCGAAGACCACCAUUGGCAGCAACUGAGCCAACCGUGGCGCGCACAGCUCAGCAAUGCAUUUGUUGCCUCUCUCAAGAAAGCAGCUCCUCUGAAAACGGGUCUGCAAACAUACCUCACAGAAAGCCAGCAUUGCCAAAAGAGCUCUGAAAUUUCCUAAAUGGAAGGACUAACGUCUUCCCUUUAGCUAGCUUUGUAUACACACUUUGAAGAGCUGUCUUCGGAUUUUAAAAUACUAUCCAGUAUUGCUUGUGCUACCUAUCAGGGCAAGUGCCUCCAGAGCUAAGAAACCAGAGCUGCAGCAUGACCUGUAAUAACCUACGAUGCAGCUCUUUGUUUUCUUCCUUAUCGCUAAUGUGAGUAAUGUUAGUUGAUGGGUGCUGCUGCAUGAGGAGGGAAUGGUGUCAAAGCCUGAGACUUUGCUAUGCGCUGGGAGUUAUGCACAAGCAAGCACAGAGUUUUGCAACAGAUAGGAACUGUUUAUGAUUUGACGGCUUGUGAUUCAUAUGUGAAAUGGGCCAGCAAGAAAAAUUGUAGCACUUCUGCAAACUUAAAUUGGAAAAGUUCCUGAAUGUUGAUUAAAUUCUGAAAAGUGUUAAAGAGUAUCUUGAGAAUGUUUUUACUCUUCUGUAUUAUUAAUAAUAAAAAUUAAUAAUUAUGUUUACUACA